UCCUACGGGAGGCAGCAGUGGGGAAUAUUGCGCAAUGGGGGAAACCCUGACGCAGCCAUGCCGCGUGUGUGAAGAAGGCCCUAGGGUUGUAAAGCACUUUCAAUAGGGAGAAAAGGCGUACGGUUAAUACCCGUGCGAGUUGAUGUUACCUAUAGAAGAAGCACCGGCUAACUCCGUGCCAGCAGCCGCGGUAAUACGGAGGGUGCGAGCGUUAAUCGGAAUUACUGGGCGUAAAGCGCGCGUAGGCGGUCUGUUAAGUCAGCUGUGAAAGCCCCGGGCUUAACCUGGGAACUGCAGUUGAUACUGGCAGGCUAGAGUACGAGAGAGGGAGGUAGAAUUCCAUGUGUAGCGGUGAAAUGCGUAGAUAUAUGGAGGAAUACCAGUGGCGAAGGCGGCCUCCUGGCUCGAUACUGACGCUGAGGUGCGAAAGCGUGGGUAGCAAACAGGAUUAGAUACCCUGGUAGUCCACGCCGUAAACGAUGUCUACUAGCCGUUGGGUGACUUGAUUGCUUAGUGGCGCAGCUAACGCAAUAAGUAGACCGCCUGGGGAGUACGGCCGCAAGGUUAAAACUCAAAUGAAUUGACG
rnacentral:rRNA from 1 species